AGAUCAUGGUGGGGGCAAUUCCUUAAUAAGCCUUUGUACCUUUCCCGCGCCUCAUAAAGUGACUCUCCCACUUGUUGCUCAAAUUUUGCAAUUGCUUUCUUCAAUUU